rnacentral:rRNA from 1 species
UUUGAUCCUGGCUCAGGACGAACGCUGGCGGCGUGCCUAAUACAUGCAAGUCGAGCGGACAGAUGGGAGCUUGCUCCCUGAUGUUAGCGGCGGACGGGUGAGUAACACGUGGGUAACCUGCCUGUAAGACUGGGAUAACUCCGGGAAACCGGGGCUAAUACCGGAUGCUUGUUUGAACCGCAUGGUUCAAACAUAAAAGGUGGCUUCGGCUACCACUUACAGAUGGACCCGCGGCGCAUUAGCUAGUUGGUGAGGUAACGGCUCACCAAGGCAACGAUGCGUAGCCGACCUGAGAGGGUGAUCGGCCACACUGGGACUGAGACACGGCCCAGACUCCUACGGGAGGCAGCAGUAGGGAAUCUUCCGCAAUGGACGAAAGUCUGACGGAGCAACGCCGCGUGAGUGAUGAAGGUUUUCGGAUCGUAAAGCUCUGUUGUUAGGGAAGAACAAGUACCGUUCGAAUAGGGCGGUACCUUGACGGUACCUAACCAGAAAGCCACGGCUAACUACGUGCCAGCAGCCGCGGUAAUACGUAGGUGGCAAGCGUUGUCCGGAAUUAUUGGGCGUAAAGGGCUCGCAGGCGGUUCCUUAAGUCUGAUGUGAAAGCCCCCGGCUCAACCGGGGAGGGUCAUUGGAAACUGGGGAACUUGAGUGCAGAAGAGGAGAGUGGAAUUCCACGUGUAGCGGUGAAAUGCGUAGAGAAUGUGGAGGAACACCAGUGGCGAAGGCGACUNNNNNGUCUGUAACNGACGNNA